AUCUGGGCGGCGGAAUUCAGGAUGGCGAGCGUGCCUUCGCGGUGCGCUGGUCGUUUGAUAUUUCCGUCGCCGAUCAACCGCAGACGUCGCGACCUGUUCGCGGUCGGUCCCUGCUCGGAGGAGCCGCGUUCGAGUUCGUUGCGUGACGCGUUUCGGCGUGUCACGCGGUGAAGACGCGGAUCUCUGGCUGGCCGUCGGACAGUAUGCUUAACGGUGUCCGGUGCCGUCGUCUCGUACGCGCGCGCACCGGUACCGGUCAGCGACGAAUUCUUCGGGCCUCUUUCCGACCCGUCUUGAAACACGGACCAAGGAGUCUAACAUGCGCGCGAGUCGCGGGGUGUCGAGCGUACCUCGGUGCGUUCGUUACGUUGCGAAACCCGUACAUGUCGAAGGCGUAAUGAAAGUGAAUGGGGAAGAUGGUGUUCCGAGUACACGUUCCGCGAUCGUCGGUAUCGCGGCCGGACACCCGCAUUCCCGGGGCGUCUCAACGGCCCGUCGCUGAUGCGGACAGUCGUCUCUUGGGGCGGCUGUCGGUCGGCGACGAACCGA
rnacentral:rRNA from 4 species